CGGCGGACGGGUGAGUAACGCGUGAGUAACCCCCCUAGUACAAAGGGAUAGCCUCGGGAAACCGGGAUUAAUACCAUAUGACACUAGUUUACCGCAUGGUAGAUUAGUUAAAGCGAUUAAGUGGUACUAGAUGGACUCGCGUCUGAUUAGCUAGUUGGUGAGAUAAAAGCUCACCAAGGCGACGAUCAGUAACCGGCUUGAGAGAGCGAACGGUCACAUUGGAACUGAGACACGGUCCAAACUCCUACGGGAGGCAGCAGUGGGGAAUAUUGCACAAUGGAGGAAACUCUGAUGCAGCGACGCCGCGUGAGUGAUGAAGGUCUUCGGAUCGUAAAACUCUGUCCUUUGGGAAGAUAAUGACAGUACCAUUGGAGGAAGCCCCGGCUAACUACGUGCCAGCAGCCGCGGUAAUACGUAGGGGGCGAGCGUUGUCCGGAAUUAUUGGGCGUA
rnacentral:rRNA from 1 species